GAUGAAGAACGCAGCGAAAUGCGAUAAGUAAUGUGAAUUGCAGAAUUCAGUGAAUCAUCGAAUCUUUGAACGCACAUUGCGCCCGUCAGUAUUCUGGCGGGCAUGCCUGUUCGAGCGUCAUUACGCCCCUCAAGUCCCCUGUGGACUUGGUGUUGGGGAUCGGCGAGGCUGGUUUUCCAGCACAGCCGUCCCUUAAAUUAAUUGGCGGUCUCGCCGUGGCCCUCCUCUGCGCAGUAGUAAAACACUCGCAACAGGAGCCCGGCGCGGUCCACUGCCGUAAAACCCCCCAACUUUUUAUAGUUGACCUCGAAUCAGGUAGGACUACCCGCUGAACUUAAGCAUACAAUAAGCGGAGGA
rnacentral:misc_RNA from 1 species